CUGGGCCUGGUCCCCGCUGUGAGGGCUCCCAGCCGGUGGGGGACCCCAGCAUGGAAGGAAACUGAGGCUCAGAGAGUCUAAGUGUUUCCCGAAGGUCACACAGAAACCUGAGGCUCUGAGAUUCCAAAGUUAUCAUGCUCUGGACCACAAUGUCAUCCAUCCCAGAGUAGGGACGUAGAAGCAUGCUCUGGAGCGAUGCUGCUCCAAGGAAAUUCUGAACUCGAUCAGGAGUCUCUCAGACAGAGGCAUUUCAGGCAGGACCGCCGGAGUACCUGCGGGUAAGGCGGGACCUCCCCCACCUGGGACCUUCGCAAAUACUCCCUGUCACCAUUGAUGACUGGAAGCAUUUCACGCCGUGUCGCCCACCCCUCCCCCCGGGAACAGAACCCCCUAGUUUCACCCUCGAACAGCCCCUCUCCGGCCUCCUGCUGUGUUCA
rnacentral:lncRNA from 1 species